AAAGGAAUUGACGGGGGCCCGCACAAGCGGUGGAGCAUGUGGUUUAAUUCGACGCAACGCGAAGAACCUUACCAAGGCUUGACAUCCACAGAAACUUAAGGAAACUUAGGAGUGCCCUUCGGGGAGCUGUGAGACAGGUGGUGCAUGGUUGUCGUCAGCUCGUGUCGUGAGAUGUUGGGUUAAGUCCCGCAACGAGCGCAACCCCUAUGUUUAGUUGCUAACAGUUAAAGCUGAGCACUCUAGACAGACUGCCGGUGACAAACCGGAGGAAGGUGGGGACGACGUCAAAUCAUCAUGCCCCUUAUGUCUUGGGCUACACACGUGCUACAAUGGCCGGUACAGACGGAAGCGAAGCCGUGAGGUGAAGCAAAUCUGAUAAAGCCGGUCUCAGUUCGGAUUGUUCUCUGCAACUCGAGAACAUGAAGUCGGAAUCGCUAGUAAUCGCAGGUCAGCAUACUGCGGUGAAUACGUUCCCGGGCCUUGUACACACCGCCCGU
rnacentral:rRNA from 1 species